rnacentral:tRNA from 1 species
GCCCUGGUAUUCCAACUGGCAGAGAAAAUGGCUUCAAACUCCAUUCAGUGUGGGUUCGAAUCCCACCCAGGGCACCA